rfam:Bombyx mori DNA, contig: Bm_scaf45_contig24739, strain: p50T/Dazao, build 2, whole genome shotgun sequence.
AAAACAUUCGAACCGUCAGUCUACCGAGCAAUAUCACCCGCUCGGUGGAAGAUUUUACCUUUGUCGU